GAUGAACGCUGGCGGCGUGCCUAAUACAUGCGAGUCGAGCGAACAGAUAAGGAGCUUGCUCCUUUGAAGUUAACGGCUGACGGGUGAGUAACACGUGGGUAACCUACCUAUAAGACUGGGAUAACUUCGGGAAACCGGAGCUAAUACCGGAUAACAUUUAUAAUCGCAUGGUUCUGAAGUGAAAGAUGGUUUUGCUAUCACUUAUAUAUGGACCCGCGCCGUAUUAGCUAGUUGGUAAGGUAACGGCUUACCAAUGCGACGAUACGUGACCGACCUGAGAAGGGGGUCGGCCACACUGGAACUGACACACCGUCCCUACUCCUAGGGGAGGCAGGAGUAUGGAAUCUUCCGCAAUGGGCGAAAGCCUGAACAGAUCAACGGCGCGUGAGUGAUGAAGGGUUUACCCUCCUUCAACUCUGUUAUUAUGGAAGAACAAAUGUGUAAGUAAGUGUGCACAUCUUGACAGUACCUGAUCAGAACAUCACGGGUAACUACAUGCCAACAACCGCGGUAAUACUUAGGUGGCAAGCGUUAUCUGGAAUUAUUGCACGAACAGCGGGCGGAGGCGGUUUCUUAAGUCUGAUGUGAAAGCCCACGGCUCAACCGUGGAGGGUCAUUGGAAACUGGGAAACUUGAGUGCAGAAGAGGAAAGUGGAAUUCCAUGUGUAGCGGUGAAAUGCGCAGAGAUAUGGAGGAACACCAGUGGCGAAGGCGACUUUCUGGUCUGUAACUGACGCUGAUGUGCGAAAGCGUGGGGAUCAAACAGGAUUAGAUACCCUGGUAGUCCACGCCGUAAACGAUGAGUGCUAAGUGUUAGGGGGUUUCCGCCCCUUAGUGCUGCAGCUAACGCAUUAAGCACUCCGCCUGGGGAGUACGACCGCAAGGUUGAAACUCAAAGGAAUUGACGGGGACCCGCACAAGCGGUGGAGCAUGUGGUUUAAUUCGAAGCAACGCGAAGAACCUUACCAAAUCUUGACAUCCUUUGAAAACUCUAGAGAUAGAGCCUUCCCCUUCGGGGGACAAAGUGACAGGUGGUGCAUGGUUGUCGUCAGCUCGUGUCGUGAGAUGUUGGGUUAAGUCCCGCAACGAGCGCAACCCUUAAGCUUAGUUGCCAUCAUUAAGUUGGGCACUCUAGGUUGACUGCCGGUGACAAACCGGAGGAAGGUGGGGAUGACGUCAAAUCAUCAUGCCCCUUAUGAUUUGGGCUACACACGUGCUACAAUGGACAAUACAAAGGGCAGCUAAACCGCGAGGUCAUGCAAAUCCCAUAAAGUUGUUCUCAGUUCGGAUUGUAGUCUGCAACUCGACUACAUGAAGCUGGAAUCGCUAGUAAUCGUAGAUCAGCAUGCUACGGUGAAUACGUUCCCGGGUCU
rnacentral:rRNA from 1 species